rnacentral:rRNA from 1 species
ACGCUAGCGGGAGGCCUAACACAUGCAAGCCGAGCGGUAUAAGAUCUUCGGAUCUUAGAGAGCGGCGCACGGGUGCGGAACACGUGUGCAACCUGCCUUUAUCUGGGGGAUAGCCUUUCGAAAGGAAGAUUAAUACCCCAUAAUAUAAUGAACGGCAUCGUUUAUUAUUGAAAACUCCGGUGGAUAGAGAUGGGCACGCGCAAGAUUAGAUAGUUGGUGAGGUAACGGCUCACCAAGUCAAUGAUCUUUAGGGGGCCUGAGAGGGUGAUCCCCCACACUGGUACUGAGACACGGACCAGACUCCUACGGGAGGCAGCAGUGAGGAAUAUUGGACAAUGGGUGAGAGCCUGAUCCAGCCAUCCCGCGUGAAGGACGACGGCCCUAUGGGUUGUAAACUUCUUUUGUAUAGGGAUAAACCUUUCCACGUGUGGAAAGCUGAAGGUACUAUACGAAUAAGCACCGGCUAACUCCGUGCCAGCAGCCGCGGUAAUACGGAGGGUGCAAGCGUUAUCCGGAUUUAUUGGGUUUAAAGGGUCCGUAGGCGGACUCGUAAGUCAGUGGUGAAAUCUCAUAGCUUAACUAUGAAACUGCCAUUGAUACUGCGGGUCUUGAGUAAAGUAGAAGUGGCUGGAAUAAGUAGUGUAGCGGUGAAAUGCAUAGAUAUUACUUAGAACACCAAUUGCGAAGGCAGGUCACUAUGUUUUAACUGACGCUGAUGGACGAAAGCGUGGGGAGCGAAC